rnacentral:lncRNA from 1 species
ACACUACUCUCUCUCUCUCUCUCUCUCUCUUCCUCCCUCUAUAUGCCUCCCGUCCUCUCUUCUCUAGCUACUGUCUUCUCUCCCUCCCCCUAAACCUACACACCACCACCUCCCAACCAAGGUUCACACAUAUGGUAUUAGUAACCAGACAUUCAUGGGCGAGAACACCAUGUCAGUCAAGAUGAAGGCAUGGCUCGAGGCCUUCUCCGCCAACCUCGCCAAGUGCAUG